AUACGAAGGGGGCUAGCGUUGUUCGGAAUCACAGGGCGUAAAGCGCGCGUAGGUGGAUCAAUUAGUUGAGGGUGAAAUCCCGGGGCUCAACCUCGGAACUGCCUUCAAUACUGUUGAUCUUGAGACCGAGAGAGGUGAGUGGAAUUCCUAGUGUAGAGGUGAAAUUCGUAGAUAUUAGGAAGAACACCAGUGGCGAAGGCGGCUCACUGGCUCGGUACUGACGCUGAGGUGCGAAAGCGUGGGGAGCAAACAGGAUUAGAAACCCUAGUAGUCC
rnacentral:rRNA from 1 species